rnacentral:rRNA from 1 species
UACGUAGGGGGCAAGCGUUGUUCGGAAUUAUUGGGCGUAAAGGGCGCGUAGGCGGUUUGGUAAGUCAGAUGUGAAAGCCCGGGGCUCAACCCCGGAGGGUCGGCUGAUACUGCUAGGCUAGAGUACGGUAGAGGGGGAUGGAAUUCCGCGUGUAGCAGUGAAAUGCGUAGAUAUGCGGAGGAACACCGAUGGCGAAGGCAAUCCCCUGGGCCUUCACUGACGCUCAUGCACGAAAGCGUGGGGAGCAAACAGG